UUUAAUGAGAUUUAUUUGUCCAAGUCUGCUGUUAGUGAUUACUUUUCUUCUAGACUUUACACCUUCCUUCAAAUUCAGUUGUGCAUUUGUAUUGCCUUUACAGAGUAUCUUUGAUGAAGAGCAAUUUUAGAGUGGUUUUUCUAGGACCUCAAAAUACCAAACCAUAAAAGUAAUUCAGAAGCCCAAAGGAGUACUGCUCAGCAGUUAUAUCUGCAAUCAAAGUUUCCUCAGAUGUACUAAGAUGAAAUGCUCCACUUCAAAUGGUCCUAGG